GGACAUGGAUUAUAAAUGAUUUAUCUAAGCAAAAUUCUCAUAUUUCUCACUAGUAUUUUAUAUUUAAAAGUUGUAUUAAAAGUAUACAAGAUGUUAGAAGUAUUUUCUUUGAAAACUAGGUUGGGAUUGGCCUAAGCCAGGAGAAAUGUAGUGAAAUAUUAAAAGAAAUAGUGUAUUUGGAAAUCUAAAUUAGAUUGAGUAGAAAUCUAUAAAAUCAAAAUAAGUUAAAAGGGGUGAACAAAAAAGUAGUAAUGUAGUUUGGAGGCCAUGAAUUGUAAAGUUAUCAACAAAAAAUAUGCCUAGAAAGAGAUACACUAUGACAAAAAUGGAGGUUUGACUUAGAAUGCAAGACUAACAUAUAUAAGAGGUAACAUGGGGAAGGAAAAGGAUGAACUCAAUUAAACAAUGUAUACAUAAAAACAAGAGAUCAUAAAAGGAAGGAUUACAUUAAUAUCAUAAGGAGAAACAUAAAAGAUAACAAUAUACCAUAGAAGUAAAAACAACAAUUAAUCAAAAAAGCACACAAACAUAAAAUCCUAAUUCUAAAAUUCAGGACUUGGGAAUUUCUCGGGUAGUUGAAGGUUGAGGUGAUUGUCAAUAUUCCCUAGAUGAACAUCAAUGUCAAGAAAUUGAUCAACCAUAUAAUCUUCAUGAGCUUGCUGCCACUCAUAAAUUUGAUCAAAUUUAGCUUUCUGGGCAAGACUCAUAUCCUUCAAUUAUCACAAAAGUUAUCAAUCAAAAGCUUCACCCCCUCUUUACAAAAAAUCUUCUAAAGUUUAUGCUCCCCAUAAAAUAGGUAAUUUAAAAAGGAUUUAAGUCCUUUUAAUUUAUUAAAAUUACUCCCCCUAAAUGUAAUAAUCCCCUUUGAUAAAACAGACCAAUUUUUUUUUUACGCUAGGACUUAUGAUAAUCUAUUAUUACUUUAAAUAAUCG
rnacentral:lncRNA from 1 species